GCGGAGGAAAAGAAACCAACAGGAUUGCCCUAGUAACGGCGAGUGAAGCGGCACAGCUCAAAUUUGAAAGCUGGCCUUCGGGUCCGCAUUGUAAUUUGUAGAGGAUGCUUUGGGUAAAACGCCAGUCUAAGUUCCCUUGGAACAGGACGUCAUAGAGGGUGAGAAUCCCGUAUGUGACUGGAAAUGUUAACCUAUGUAAAGCUCCUUCGACGAGUCGAGUUGUUUGGGAAUGCAGCUCUAAAUGGGAGGUAAAUUUCUUCUAAAGCUAAAUAUUGGCGAGAGACCGAUAGCGCACAAGUAGAGUGAUCGAAAGAUGAAAAGCACUUUGGAAAGAGAGUUAAAAAGCACGUGAAAUUGUUGAAAGGGAAGCGCUUGCAAUCAGACUUGUUUAAACUGUUCGGCCGGUCUUCUGACCGGUUUACUCAGUUUGGACAGGCCAGCAUCAGUUUCGGCGGCCGGAUAAAGGCUCUGGGAAUGUGGCCUCCACUUCGGUGGAGGUGUUAUAGCCCAGUGUGUAAUACGGCCAGCCGGGACUGAGGUCCGCGCUUCGGCUAGGAUGCUGGCGUAAUGGUUGUAAGCGACCCGU
rnacentral:rRNA from 1 species